CAGAUCGGCAGGUAUACGAGUCAAUCUUAUGUUUAAGAAUAGAGACCUUAUGGUUUACCAACACUAUCCAAGAUAUCAGGACGUGGAACUAUUCAGUUACAUUGGUGGAUAUAUUGGAAUUUGGCUUGGUAUCUCACUGGCAAAUGUAUUGGAUGUGAUCAUUAACUGCAGCAUUAAAAUUAAAAACUGGUAUUUAGAUCUGAAGGAGCAAUUAUCAAAUAUCAUAGAAUCAUUUCAACAAGAUUUGGCUACUACUGAUGUGAUAGAAGAUUGAUACAGUUUGGAAAAAAGGUGUAUUGGAUAUUAAAUCAGUUACCAUAUUAAUCUCUCAUAGAAUGUUAGCUUUUAAAAUGCACACUAAACUGUAGAUUUAUUUUGGGUAAAUAAUAUUUAAAAUUUAAUAUUUAAAAGCAUAUACCAAUUUAGUGUUCAUUUGAUGACAAAGUUAUGUUAUGAUGACUGAGAUAUCAUAUUUUGUACUUUCACUUGCACCUAUUUUUUGUGCCCUUGUAGUAUUAAAUGCAAAUCUUGUCCUAUGUAGUCUUGCAUAUUAAAAACUUUGUGCAUGAAA